UAGGAUUCUGAGAGGAAAAAUGUCCAAAAUUAAAUGAAAUUUUUGGGGAUUUAAAACUCUAGAAAAAGAUAGAUAUCAACUUUGAUUAGGACUCUUAAAAUAUGAAAAAAAAUUUGGGAUGCCCAGUAUGCAUACACAUUGUAAGAUACAUAUGGAAGAAAAAAAUCCAAGAUCUAAUAGAAUUGUUAGGGAUGUAAAACUCUAAAAUAUAUAUAUAUAUAUAUAUAAGGUCUGCUAAAAUUUGAAGGCACAGAGCCUCC
rnacentral:lncRNA from 1 species